rnacentral:rRNA from 1 species
UGGUAUUUCAGGGACAAGUUUUUUUAAAUUUAAAAAUUAAAGUUAUUUUAAUUUGUGAAGAAACAAUUAUAUAAAUUAAGGACAAGAAGACCCUAAGAAUUUAAGAAUUCUUAUGUUACUUAAAUAUAAAAUAGGAAUUCUUAGUUGGGGCAACUAAAAAA